AUGAGCGGGGCGCCCCUCCCCUGGCUCGGAGAGGAGCCCGGGGCCAGCUGACUCACUGCGAUACCCAGCCAGGGUGCGGGACAGGCAGGGGUAAAACACAUUUCAAACACAUUUCAGACAUAGCCUCCCUCCUGCGGGAAGCACAGGGCCAGCCUCCCUGCCGCCCUGUCCUGCCGGCAGGCGCACAGAGCCGCGGGUGACCCCCGCAAUGCCCCGUGUCCCGGUGGGUGAGGUCGAGCCGUUCCUCAAGCACACAGAAGCCGUGCCCGUUUCUGGGCUCUGCUUCGGUCGUUUUUGCUGCCUGUGAGAAUUAUUUCUAUCUGUCAUUAUUAUAGUCUGUUUUUUAAAAGUUUGUUCUUACUGUUUUCACUUUUCAGAAGAGAUGGGGAAGGGUUACAACCUGGGGGUGAUGAUGGUAAAACUCACUACAUAAUUUUUGAGUACUGUGGGAGAUACAUCCUCCCAUCAUAACAUUUUUAUGGCAAGUUUAAUGUUCGGCUCAUCUGGAAUAAGCUGUGAGAGCCACACUACAGGAAGCUGUCAGAGUUACUGCCGAUUUUUUAUUCUCUUUGGAGAAGAAGAAAACACAGGCUUCUGUCCUCAGUGGAUUCUCUGAUUUGUGAAGCACUGAAAGAGAUCAGAUUUCUGCAGAAAAGGAAUAUCCAAUGGGAAACCCAUUUUCUUUUCCAAAUGGGCUAGACUCUGCAUUUUAUAUGCUACCCCACAUUGUGGGCACUGCAAAAUGGCACCAACACGAGAAGGCUGUGCUGCCCAACCCUUCACAAGCAAACUGCUGGCAGGGGAAAAAGUGAGACCAUGACUGGCUUCUGUUCCAAGGCCUGCAGAAGAACUCUGGGGAUACCCACACUUUCCCUUCUGGCAUGGAAAAGAAGACUCUAUUUUCAACCACAAGAAGUUCACACAGGAUGAUUUCACAUGAAAAUAACCCAAACCAUAGCACCUUCCUCGUUUUAAGGUGUUAUGUGUGCAAAUGGGUUGUAUGCCAAUGAUUUCUUUACUGAGAAGAAAACUUUAGAUCAUCUGUCUCCAAGAGAGAAUACUGCAGAUGGACAAUAUUAAAUUUCUUUAAGAGGUGAAACAAAAUACAUGGGCUUACAGAAGGAUUAGAAAAUUAUAUCCCAGCUGAAAAAUUUUAUGGCUACAGAAAAAAUUGUGGGAGUGAAAUACCAGCAUCAUAAAAUAAAUAACAGGAAAUAUGGUAAUUUAUGUGAUAGAGAAAAUUGUCACUUUCAGAAUUGCCAGAAAGUCAACAGCAUUUCACCCGUUUGACUUCAGAAAUGAACUUAGACCUCAGAUGCUUAAAAAUAUAUGAAAAGAAGUGAAAUGAAAUAAAAGCUCAUGAAUCCAAUUGGGAUUUACAAAGAAGAAAGCAAUCUGCAUGAAAGGAGUUUUAUAGAAGUUGGGAAUGCAUGUAAUCAGAAUUUAACUUAUUCCUGGAAAGUGAUUUAGAAUAUGCCAAAUAAAUUAAAUUCCAUUCUGCAAGAUGAGCAAUUAAUGGGCCUCCUAAUUUAGAAAGCAUCACAAUUCAGAAAUGGCCUUUAAGCCUGUUUAACUUUAAGCAUAUGUUGAAAACCCACUGAAUUCAGCUGGAAAUUCAACACAGAAAACAAGAGGAGGUCGAGCAUGUCUACUCAGUAGUUUGCAUUACUAAUGCUUUAUAUUUCUGAAGAUCCUUGAACCUCAUGAGGAGAAGGCAUUUCACAAAUAUUGGUGGCCAACCAGUGCAGUUCCCAUCUGACAGGUCUCAGAGCUGGAUGGGAGAAACAGCAAAUCUCUGAGAGAGCCCCAGAGCAGCCAUGUGGGACAAGGAGCCAUAUCCCAUCCAACAACCUUGCAAUGGCCAGUAAUUGUUACCCCCCCCCCAGGCCAUAAGAAUGACCCCACGGCUGCUAAUUUCUAUUUUAGGUGCAGUGGAAUGCUGCGGUCAGGCUGAUCCCGAGCUGCUGGCAAGUCUAGCACUGCGUUUAGUGACAGUGACUGCUUGCAUAGGAGUGAUAGCGGCCACUGGGAAGCAGUUGCUGCAGGAAUGCUGCUCCUGCCCUGGUGGUUGCUCCAAAGCCUGCUGGAAACUGCGUUUUUCCCAUUUCUAUCCUGACAUUUGUGUAAUUUUAGCUUCUACAUUUUGGCAAAUACCGCCGUGUAUUUUUGGCUCACCCCUGAGUUAUCUGAAGCAGAGCAGUGUGAUUCCAGGCAGAAGAAGGCAGAAUUGUCUCAGAAUAACAAGCAGAUUUUUUUUUAAUGUAGUGCAAAUGGUUCAUACAUUAUUUUUGCAUGAAUCAGACAUUUAUUUUCUAAAGGAAGAUGGGGGGGGAGGAGGGCAAAAUCUUUUACUUAAAUCCUCUCAUAGUUCAUUGCUGAAUAUCAGAUUCUAGAGACAAGGCAAUGUAUGCCAGGCUUCUUGGUUAUUGUGCUUUUGGAGAUUAGCUGGUUUGAGUCAUGAGGGUGUGUUACCUCACCCUAAUUACAGAACUCCAGCAGAAAUGGUAAAAACAGGCAGCGUGAAAGGGGACUUUUCCAGCAUUCAUGGGACAUUCACAUGAGCUGCAUGGGCAGGAUGAAAUCAUGCAACUGCCAAGGAACAAAAGCAAGUAGUAGAAAAUGAACAAUUAUGAAAUAAAAGGAGUCCUACAAAUGCUAGAA